ensembl:lncRNA
AUAAAAAACACCCUGAAUGCAUUUAGAAUACAUUUCGAACUACAAAUAAAAAUUUUUAUAGCAAUAUUAGUUUUUUAAUGUCAUAAUGCCAACCCGCCUCCCUUAUCUGGGUUGGGGACCGGCAAAAGUGACCCGAAAUAGGCCCUCUGGCAGAGUUAUUUUAUUUUACUUUUUGUCUUUAAGUUUUUUCUUUUUUUUUCUUUUUUUUAAUGUCUUUUUAAGUAAUUUUAAACCACACAAGAGAAACGGUCAAAGAAGAACAUUUUUAACCAUAACGUUGUUAACAAACUACAUUAGCAAUCUAAAUGGACCAAAAACAGUCAGUAGAAUAAACAGUGACAAUGUGGAAAAACUGAUGGGAACUAGUCUGGUCCUAAUUCAGGCUCAUUGUUUUUUGUUUGUUUGUUUGUUUUCCAGACAUCCCUGCGCAAAUAUUGUCUGUACUGGCUCACAGAAAGAGUGGGUCAUCCUCAUUUUCAUCAAGAUUCUCCAUGCCAGGUUCAGCAACUGUAGCACUUGAAUGAAUACAAGAUCCCGCCUACAUGUGACAGCAACUUUGGUCCACUGAUCUACGGUACCAAGAAAACCCAAAGCUUCAUCUUGGAAAACCAUGGAGACUUCAAGACUUCUUUCACCAUCACAGACCCUACACUCUUAAGCAGGACAGGACUCACCUCAGGCUGGGUGUAUUCUCAUUGUCUCCCUGCACUGGAAGCCUACAGCCAGGGUGGUGACAGUGGACUGUGCAGCUGAACAGCUAGGCAGCUAUAACCAGGAUUUGCUCAUUGACACCACUGGGCGUGACCCCUCAGACCAUCCUGAU